UGCGUAGGCGGAUUAAUAAGUCAGUGGUGAAAACCUGCAGCUUAACUGUAGAACUGCCGUUGAUACUGUUAGUCUUGAGUACGGUCAAGGUAGGCGGAAUGUGUAAUGUAGCGGUGAAAUGCUUAGAUAUUACACAGAACACCGAUUGCGAAGGCAGCUUACUGGACCAUUACUGACGCUGAGGCACGAAAGCGUGGGGAGCGAACAGGAUUAGAUACCCUGGUAGUCC
rnacentral:rRNA from 1 species